rnacentral:rRNA from 1 species
GACAGAGGUCUCAAGCGUUGUUCGGAUUCAUUGGGCGUAAAGGGUGCGUAGGUGGCGCGGUAAGUCGGGUGUGAAAUUUCGGAGCUUAACUCCGAAACUGCAUUCGAUACUGGCGUGCUUGAGGACUGGAGAGGAGACUGGAAUUCAUGGUGUAGCAGUGAAAUGCGUAGAGAUCAUGAGGAAGACCAGUGGCGAAGGCGGGUCUCUGGACAGUUCCUGACACUGAGACACGAAGGCCAGGGGAGCAAACGGG